CCCUUAGAUGUUCUGGGCCGCACGCGCGCUACAAUGGUCUUCGCAAACGGAUGCAUUCUCGAAGGAGAAUGCCAAUCUUGGAAUCUAUGCCUUGGUCGGGACAGUUGCUUGCAAUUUUUCGACUCGAACCAGGAAUUCCUUGUAAUCGUGAUUCAUCACAUCACGAUGAAUACGUCCCUGCCCUUUGUACACACCGCCCGUCGCUCCUACCGAUCGAAGAGUUAGGUGAAUUGUUUUGAUCGAUAAGAUUUGACUAUGGUCAACUCUCGUUGAGAAAUUCUGUGAAUCUGACUGUUUAGAGGAAGGAAAAGUCGUAACA
rnacentral:rRNA from 1 species